AUUGAACGCUGGCGGCAGGCCUAACACAUGCAAGUCGAACGAGUGGCGGACGGGUGAGUAAUGUCUGGGAAACUGCCUGAUGGAGGGGGAUAACUACUGGAAAAGGUAGAUAAUGCCGCAUACCAUCAGAUGUGCCCAGGUUGGAUGAGCUAGUUGGGGGGGUAACGGCUCACCAAGGCGACGCUCCCUAGCUGGUCUGAGAGGAUGACCAGCCACACUGGAACUGAGACACGGUCCAGACUCCUACGGGAGGCAGCAGUGGGGAAUAUUGGACAAUGGGCGCAAGCCUGACCGAGCCAUGCCGCGUGUAUGAAGAAGGUUUUCGGGUUGUAAAGUACUUUCAGCGGGGAGGCGUUACCCGCAGAAGAAGCACCGGCUAACUCCGUGCCAGCAGCCGCGGUAAUAC
rnacentral:rRNA from 1 species